rnacentral:rRNA from 1 species
GACGAACGCUGGCGGCGUGCUUAACACAUGCAAGUCGAACGGAAAGGCCCUGCUUUUGUGGGGUGCUCGAGUGGCGAACGGGUGAGUAACACGUGAGUAACCUGCCCUUGACUUUGGGAUAACUUCAGGAAACUGGGGCUAAUACCGGAUAGGAGCUCCUGCUGCAUGGUGGGGGUUGGAAAGUUUCGGCGGUUUGGGGUGGACUCGCGGCUUAUCAGCUUGUUGGUGGGGUAGUGGCUUACCAAGGCUUUGACGGGUAGCCGGCCUGAGAGGGUGACCGGCCACAUUGGGACUGAGAUACGGCCCAGACUGCUACGGGAGGCAGCAGGGGGGAACAUUGCACAAUGGGCGGAAGCCUGAUGCAGCAACGCCGCGUGCGGGAUGACGGCCUUCGGGUUGUAAACCGCUGUCGCCUGUGACGAAGCGUGAGUGACGGUAAUGGGUAAAGAAGCACCGGCUAACUACGUG